rnacentral:tRNA from 1 species
GUAGAAUUAAUUUAAUUGGCAAAAUAAUGUCUUGUGGCGACAAAGUACAGGGUUCAAAUCCCUGAUUCUACC